rnacentral:rRNA from 1 species
CCUACGGGUGGCAGCAGUGAGGAAUAUUGGUCAAUGGGCGCGAGCCUGAACCAGCCAAGUCGCGUGAGGGAAGACGGUCCUGUGGAUUGUAAACCUCUUUUGUCGGGGAGCAAAAGACGCCACGCGUGGCGUUCCGAGAGUACCCUAAGAAAAAGCAUCGGCUAACUCCGUGCCAGCAGCCGCGGUAAUACGGAGGAUGCGAGCGUUAUCCGGAUUUAUUGGGUUUAAAGGGUGCGCAGGCGGAAGAUCAAGUCAGCGGUAAAAUUGAGGGGCUCAACCUCUUCGAGCCGUUGAAACUGGUUGUCUUGAGUGAGUGAGAAGUAGGCGGAAUGCGUGGUGUAGCGGUGAAAUGCAUAGAUAUCACGCAGAACUCCGAUUGCGAAGGCAGCAUACCGGCGCGCAACUGACGCUCAUGCACGAAAGUGUGGGUAUCGAACAGGAUUAGAUACCCUUGUAGUC